GGGGGUAUAGCCGAGCUGGUAUAGGCACCGCACUUAAAAUGCGACGUCCUCAGGACAUGCGGGUUCGACCCCCGCUACCCCUACCA
rnacentral:tRNA from 1 species